rnacentral:rRNA from 1 species
UUCUGUGUGUAGGGGUGCUAUCCGUAGAUACACAGAGGAACACCAAAAGCGAAGGCAGCUUACUGGAACUGUAUUGACGUUCAUGAACGAAAGCGUGGGUAGCGAAAAGGAUUAGAUACCCUUGUAGGUCCACGCCCUAAACGAUGAUAACUAAGUGUUGCGACUAGCUCGCAGUGCUGUAGCUAACGCGUUAAGUUAUCCACCUGAGGAGUACGGUCGCAAGAUUAAAACUCAAAGGAAUAGACGGGGACCCACACAAGCAGUGGAUCACGUGGUUUAAUUCGACAAUAAACGGGGAACCUUACCCAGACUUGACAUCCUAGGAAUCUUUCAGAAAUGAAAGAGUGCUUUUAUUAGAACCUAGUGACAGGUGCUGCAUGGUUGUCGUCAGCUCGUGCCUUGAGGUGUUCGGUUAAGUCCGUUAACGAGCGCAACCCAUGUCUUUAGUUAUUAUGUCUAAAGAGACUGCCUUGGUUAACAAGGAGGAAGGUGUGGAUGACGUCAAAUCAGCAUGGCUUUUACGUCUGGGGCCACACACAUGAUACAAUGGUAUAUACAAAGAGCAGCAAUAUGGUAACAUGGAGCUAAUCUUAAAAGUAUAUCUCAGUCCGGAUUGAAGUCUGAAACUCGACUUCAUGAAGUUGGAAUUGCUAGUAAUC